rnacentral:rRNA from 1 species
AGCGAACGCUGGCGGCAGGCUUAACACAUGCAAGUCGAGCGGGCACUUCGGUGUCAGCGGCAGACGGGUGAGUAACACGUGGGAACGUACCCUUUGGUUCGGAAUAACGCUGGGAAACUAGCGCUAAUACCGGAUACGCCCUUUUGGGGAAAGGCUUGCUGCCGAAGGAUCGGCCCGCGUCUGAUCAGCUAGUUGGUGGGGUAAUGGCCUACCAAGGCGACGAUCAGUAGCUGGUCUGAGAGGAUGAUCAGCCACACUGGGACUGAGACACGGCCCAGACUCCUACGGGAGGCAGCAGUGGGGAAUAUUGGACAAUGGGCGCAAGCCUGAUCCAGCCAUGCCGCGUGAGUGAUGAAGGCCUUAGGGUUGUAAAGCUCUUUUGUCCGGGACGAUAAUGACGGUACCGGAAGAAUAAGCCCCGGCUAACUUCGUG